AUUCCUUUGAAAACAUGCGGUACAGAGCCAUUCCCUUGUCGAAUUAAAAUGGCCAAGACGAUCUACUCUCUGCCCUAGCCCCCGCGAUUGUUCUCUCCGGAUGCUAUCUCUCUCUCCGAAUAGAGCGCUCUCUCUCCCGAUUAGCUCAAUCAUCUGUCUAGCACUCACUCUUUCUCUCAAUUAGCUCCCUCUCUCUCGGGGGUUGCGCAGAAUGCACUGCUUAAGUUAAUUCAUGAAAAUUCCUCUUCCAUGCGCAGCAAUCUGUAUGGCAGGAAGAUAAUUGCAUGUCUGGAGAAGACAAAGAAUAACGCGAUGUGGACAUUGAACUGUUGAAGGAGUCUCCAGAUUAGUUGUGCUGUUUAAAAAUCUGAAAAUAACUUUGAUGUUCUGUUGUUUUUACAUGGUCAAGUAGCGAAACUUUGGCGUGUAGUUGAAAUAAGUGCCUUGUAUUAGUAUCGUAAACUUUGAUGGAUGCUUGUAUGAGACUUGUCGAUUUUUAUUUUAUACUUAUUUUGAUGAA